rnacentral:rRNA from 1 species
UACGUAGGGGGCUAGCGUUGUCCGGAUUUAUUGGGCGUAAAGAGCGUGUAGGCGGCCAGGUAGGCCUGGUGUGAAAACUCGAGGCUUAACCUCGAGAUGUCAUCGGAAACCAUCUGGCUAGAGUCCGGAAGAGGAGAGUGGAAUUCCUGGUGUAGCGGUGAAAUGCGCAGAUAUCAGGAAGAACACCAAUGGCGAAAGCAGCUCUCUGGGACGGUACUGACGCUGAGACGCGAAAGCGUGGGGAGCGAACAGG